rnacentral:rRNA from 1 species
AGAGUUUGAUCCUGGCUCAGGAUGAACGCUGGCGGCGUGCUUAACACAUGCAAGUCGAACGAUGAUCCGGUGCUUGCACCGGGGAUUAGUGGCGAACGGGUGAGUAACACGUGAGUAACCUGCCCUUAACUCUGGGAUAAGCCUGGGAAACUGGGUCUAAUACCGGAUAUGACUCCUCAUCGCAUGGUGGGGGGUGGAAAGCUUUAUUGUGGUUUUGGAUGGACUCGCGGCCUAUCAGCUUGUUGGUGAGGUAAUGGCUCACCAAGGCGACGACGGGUAGCCGGCCUGAGAGGGUGACCGGCCACACUGGGACUGAGACACGGCCCAGACUCCUACGGGAGGCAGCAGUGGGGAAUAUUGCACAAUGGGCGCAAGCCUGAUGCAGCGACGCCGCGUGAGGGAUGACGGCCUUCGGGUUGUAAACCUCUUUCAGUAGGGAAGAAGCGAAAGUGACGGUACCUGCAGAAGAAGCGCCGGCUAACUACGUGCCAGCAGCCGCGGUAAUACGUAGGGCGCAAGCGUUAUCCGGAAUUAUUGGGCGUAAAGAGCUCGUAGGCGGUUUGUCGCGUCUGCCGUGAAAGUCCGGGGCUCAACUCCGGAUCUGCGGUGGGUACGGGCAGACUAGAGUGAUGUAGGGGAGACUGGAAUUCCUGGUGUAGCGGUGAAAUGCGCAGAUAUCAGGAGGAACACCGAUGGCGAAGGCAGGUCUCUGGGCAUUAACUGACGCUGAGGAGCGAAAGCAUGGGGAGCGAACAGGAUUAGAUACCCUGGUAGUCCAUGCCGUAAACGUUGGGCACUAGGUGUGGGGGACAUUCCACGUUUUCCGCGCCGUAACUAACGCAUUAAGUGCCCCGCCUGGGGAGUACCGGCCGCAAGGCUUAAACUCAAAGGAAUUGACGGGGGCCCGCACAAACCGGCGGAGCAUGCCGCAACCCUCGUUCCAUGUUGCCAGCGCGUAAUGGCGGGGACUCAUGGGAGACUGCCGGGGUCAACUCGGAGGAAGGUGGGGACGACGUCAAAUCAUCAUGCCCCUUAUGUCUUGGGCUUCACGCAUGCUACAAUGGCCGGUACAAAGGGUUGCGAUACUGUGAGGUGGAGCUAAUCCCAAAAAGCCGGUCUCAGUUCGGAUUGGGGUCUGCAACUCGACCCCAUGAAGUCGGAGUCGCUAGUAAUCGCAGAUCAGCAACGCUGCGGUGAAUACGUUCCCGGGCCUUGUACACACCGCCCGUCAAGUCACGAAAGUUGGUAACACCCGAAGCCGGUGGCCUAACCCCUUGUGGGAGGGAGCUGUCGAAGGUGGGACUGGCGAUUGGGACUAAGUCGUAACAAGGUAACC